rnacentral:rRNA from 1 species
UACAGAGGUCCCAAGCGUUGUUCGGAUUCACUGGGCGUAAAGGGUGCGUAGGUGGUGAAGUAAGUCGGAUGUGAAAUCUCGGAGCUUAACUCCGAAACUGCAUUGGAAACUACUUUGCUCGAGGGUUGGAGGGGGGACUGGAAUUCUUGGUGUAGCAGUGAAAUGCGUAGAUAUCAAGAGGAACACCAGUGGCGAAGGCGAGUCCCUGGACAACACCUGACACUGAGGCACGAAAGCCGGGGGAGCAAACAGG